rnacentral:rRNA from 1 species
AGAAUCAACGCUGGCGGCGUGCCUCAGACAUGCAAGUCGAACGCGAAAGUCCCCUUCGGGGGACAAGUAGAGUGGCGCACGGGUGAGUAACACGUAGGUAAUCUACCUUCGGAUGGGGAAUAACAAUCGGAAACGGUUGCUAAUACCGCAUAAUGCAGCGGCACCUAAUGGUGACAGUUGUUAAAGCGGGGGAUCGAAAGACCUCGCGUCUGAAGAGGAGCCUGCGGCGGAUUAGCUAGUUGGUAAGGUAAUGGCUUACCAAGGCUACGA